AUAUAUUAUACCAUUAGAGGAUGC
rnacentral:siRNA from 1 species